rnacentral:rRNA from 1 species
AGCGAACGCUGGCGGCAGGCUUAACACAUGCAAGUCGAGCGGAUGUAGCAAUACAUCAGCGGCAGACGGGAGAGUAACACGUGGGAACGUACCCUUCAGUUCGGAACAACCCAGGGAAACUUGGGCUAAUACCGGAUACGUCCGUAAGGAGAAAGAUUUAUCGCUGAAGGAUCGGCCCGCGUCUGAUUAGCUAGUUGGUGAGGUAACGGCUCACCAAGGCGACGAUCAGUAGCUGGUCUGAGAGGAUGAUCAGCCUCACUGGGACUGAGACACGGCCCAGACUCCUACGGGAGGCAGCAGUGGGGAAUAUUGGACAAUGGCGCAAGCCUGAUCCAGCCAUGCCGCGUGGGUGAUGAAGGCCCUAGGGUUGUAAAGCUCUUUGUGCGGGAAGAUAAUGAC